AUUGAACGCUGGCGGCAUGCCUUACACAUGCAAGUCGAACGGCAGCACGGGAGCAAUCCUGGUGGCGAGUGGCGAACGGGUGAGUAAUAUAUCGGAACGUGCCCAGUCUGGGGGAUAACGUAGCGAAAGCUACGCUAAUACCGCAUACGAUCUAUGGAUGAAAGCGGGGGAUCGCAAGACCUCGCGCGAUUGGAGCGGCCGAUAUCAGAUUAGGUAGUUGGUGAGGUAAAGGCUCGCCAAGCCGACGAUCUGUAGCUGGUCUGAGAGGACGACCAGCCACACUGGGACUGAGACACGGCCCAGACUCCUACGGGAGGCAGCAGUGGGGAAUUUUGGACAAUGGCGCAAGCCUGAUCCAGCAAUGCCGCGUGCAGGAUGAAGGCCUUAC
rnacentral:rRNA from 1 species